GGGAGUGCGGCAAAGUUGGAGAGUUGCGCUGGUCUGUAAAACCAGAGCGUUCGCGCUGAGAGGGUUCGAUUCCCUCCGCUCCCA
rnacentral:tRNA from 1 species